GUGUAGCGGUGGAAUGCGCAGAUAUCAGGAGGAACACCGAUGGCGAAGGCAGAUCUCUGGGCCGUAACUGACGCUGAGGAGCGAAAGGGUGGGGAGCAAACAGGCUUAGAUACCCUGGUAGUCCACCCCGUAAACGUUGGGAACUAGUUGUGGGGGCCAUUCCACGGUCUCCGUGACGCAGCUAACGCAUUAAGUUCCCCGCCUGGGGAGUACGGCCGCAAGGCUAAAACUCAAAGGAAUUGACGGGGACCCGCACAAGCGGCGGAGCAUGCGGAUUAAUUCGAUGCAACGCGAAGAACCUUACCAAGGCUUGACAUACACCAGAACGGGCCAGAAAUGGUCAACUCUUUGGACACUGGUGAACAGGUGGUGCAUGGUUGUCGUCAGCUCGUGUCGUGAGAUGUUGGGUUAAGUCCCGCAACGAGCGCAACCCUCGUUCUAUGUUGCCAGCACGUAAUGGUGGGAACUCAUGGGAUACUGCCGGGGUCAACUCGGAGGAAGGUGGGGAUGACGUCAAAUCAUCAUGCCCCUUAUGUCUUGGGCUUCACGCAUGCUACAAUGGCCGGUACAAAGGGCUGCAAUACCGUGAGGUGGAGCGAAUCCCAAAAAGCCGGUCCCAGUUCGGAUUGAGGUCUGCAACUCGACCUCAUGAAGUCGGAGUCGCUAGUAAUCGCAGAUCAGCAACGCUGCGGUGAAUACGUUCCCGGGUCUUGUACACACCGCCCGUCAAGUCAUGAAAGUCGGUAACACCUGAAGCCGGUG
rnacentral:rRNA from 1 species